rnacentral:rRNA from 1 species
UUGACCUCGGAUCAGGUAGGGAUACCCGCUGAACUUAAGCAUAUCAAUAAGCGGAGGAAAAGAAACCAACAGGGAUUGCCCCAGUAACGGCGAGUGAAGCGGCAAGAGCUCAAAUUUGAAAGCUGGCUCCUUCGGGGUCCGCAUUGUAAUUUGCAGAGGAUGUUUCGGGAGCGGCCCCCAUCUAAGUGUCGUGGAACGGACCGUCAUAGAGGGUGAGAAUCCCGUAUGGGAUGGGGUGCCCGCGCCCAUGUGAAACUCCUUCGACGAGUCGAGUUGUUUGGGAGUGCAGCUCUAAAUGGGUGGUAAAUUUCAUCUAAAGCUAAAUAUUGGCCGGAGACCGAUAGCGCACAAGUAGAGUGAUCGAGAGAUGAAAGCACUUUGAAAAGAGAGUUAAAAAGCACGUGAAAUUGUUGAAAGGGAAGCGUUUGCGAUCAGACUCGCCGACGGGGUUCAGCCUGCCUUCGGGCAGGUGUACUUCCCCGCCGGCGGGCCAGCGUCGGUUUGGGCGGCCGGUCAAAGGCCCUGGGAAUGUAACGCCUCUCGGGGCGUCUUAUAGCCCAGGGUGUCAUGCGGCCUGCCCGGACCGAGGAACGCGCUUCGGCUCGGACGCGGC